GGGCCCGCACAAGCGGUGGAGUAUGUGGUUUAAUUCGAUGCAACGCGAAGAACCUUACCAGGGUUUGACAUCCUGCGAAUUUCUGGGAAACCGGAAAGUGCCUUCGGGAGCGCAGUGACAGGUGGUGCAUGGCUGUCGUCAGCUCGUGUCGUGAGAUGUUGGGUUAAGUCCCGCAACGAGCGCAACCCACGUCUUUAGUUGCCAGCAUUUAGUUGGGCACUCUAUGGAAACUGCCCGUGAUAAGCGGGAGGAAGGUGUGGAUGACGUCAAGUCCUCAUGGCCCUUACGGGUUGGGCUACACACGUGCUACAAUGGUAGUGACAAUGGGUUAAUCCCCAAAAACUAUCUCAGUUCGGAUUGUCGUCUGCAACUCGACGGCAUGAAGUCGGAAUCGCUAGUAAUCG
rnacentral:rRNA from 1 species